GUCUACGGCCAUGCUACCCUGAACACACCCGAUCCCAUCUGAUCUCGGAAGCUAAGCAGGGUUGGGCCUGAUUAGUACUUGAAUGAGAGACCACCUAGGAAGACCAGGUGCUAUAGGCA
rnacentral:rRNA from 1 species